rnacentral:rRNA from 1 species
CACGUAGGGGGCGAGCGUUGUCCGGAUUCAUUGGGCGUAAAGGGCGCGCAGGCGGCCCGGAAAGUCGGAUGUGAAAACUCGAGGCUCAACCUCGAGCGUGCACCCGAUACUGCCGGGCUUGAGGCAGGUAGGGGAGAUCGGAAUUCCUGGUGUAGCGGUGAAAUGCGCAGAUAUCAGGAGGAACACCGAUGGCGAAGGCAGCUCGCUGGGACGGUACUGACGCUGAGGCGCGAAAGCGUGGGGAGCGAACAGG